GGGGGGGGGCUGGCUGUCAGGGAGGCCGCCCCGUCCUGGGGGGCACCUCAGGGCAGGUACUGACUUCCAUAGCCAGGACCUAGGCCGGGAAUCGGGAAGGGAUGGCCCCGGAAGUGAUAAGGCAGGAUUUCCAGGCAGGGGAAGUGGCAUUUAGGAGAACUGGCUAUUUAAGGGGGCGGUCAGUGCUGACACAGACAAAGCAUUCACUGGCUGGGAAUGGCCGCCACCCAGUGGCUCUGAGAACUAGACUUGGAAGUCUGGCACUGGGAGCUGUGCCAACUUGGACCAAACUUUGGGCGCAAAGCACGACGUGGCAGACGAGGAACCACACUAGAACGGGCCACGCCUACCCAAGAUUUACGAGGCCGUCCUUUCCCUCAUGCAAUCGCAAUGGGAAAAGGAGGAAACUAAGGCUCGGCCUCCCCUACUGAGCCUGGUUGGCGGAGGGGAGUCUUAAAGCCGCCGCCAUCUGGAGAACCAGCUUUACAAGGACCCUCACUCACUACUCUUCGGCGGCCCCAAAGCCUCUGGGGGGCCCUCUAUGGCCACCACUUGCUCCUCGCCCAGGAGUCAUCUCAUGCCGCCGCCUCCCCCAGCCCUGGUGGAAGAAGCCAGCGCGGACCCCUGCCUCUCUGCCCCAGA
rnacentral:lncRNA from 1 species